rnacentral:rRNA from 1 species
CCUACGGGGUGCAGCAGUCGGGAAUAUUGCGCAAUGGAGGAAACUCUGACGCAGUGACGCCGCGUAUAGGAAGAAGUUUUUCGGAAUGUAAACUAUUGUCGUUAGGGAAGAGAAAUGACAGUACCUAAGGAGGAAGCUCCGGCUAACUACGUGCCAGCAGCCGCGGUAAUACGGAGGGAGCGAGCGUUAUCCGGAAUUAUUGGGUUUAAAGGGUGCGUAGGCGGGCUUUUAAGUCAGCGGUAAAAAUUUGGGGCUCAACCCCGUCCCGGCGGUGAAACUUGGGGCCUUGAGGUGUCGGAGAAGAAGGCGGAAUGCGUGGUGUAGCGGUGAAAUGCAUAGAUAUCACGAAGAACCCCGAUUGCGAAGGCAGCCUCCGGGCCUCUUACUGACGCUGAGGCACGAAAGUGCGGGGAUCAAACAGGAUUAGAUACCCUUGUAGUC